UACGUAGGGUGCAAGCGUUGUCCGGAAUUAUUGGGCGUAAAGAGCUCGUAGGCGGUUUGUCGCGUCUGCUGUGAAAACUCAGGGCUUAACCCUGAGCCUGCAGUGGGUACGGGCAGACUAGAGUGUGGUAGGGGAGAUCGGAAUUCCUGGUGUAGCGGUGGAGUGCGCAGAUAUCAGGAGGAACACCGGUGGCGAAGGCGGAUCUCUGGGCCAUAACUGACGCUGAGGAGCGAAAGCAUGGGGAGCGAACAGG
rnacentral:rRNA from 1 species